rfam:Cariama cristata contig25031, whole genome shotgun sequence.
AAAAAGGCUCUUUUCAGAGCCACCUACAAUACUCAUAAAGGGUUG